rnacentral:rRNA from 1 species
GCAAGUCGAGCGAGACGGUUGUGAGUGAUCCUUCGGGUGAACAAUCAACUAGACAGCGGCGGACGGGUGAGUAACGCGUGGAUAACCUGCCUUAUACUGGGGGAUAACGUUUUGAAAAGAACGCUAAUACCGCAUAAGCGCACAAGACCGCAUGGUCUAGUGUGAAAAACUCCGGUGGUAUAAGAUGGAUCCGCGUCAGAUUAGCUAGUUGGUGAGAUAAAAGCUCACCAAGGCAACGAUCUGUAGCCGACCUGAGAGGGUGAUC